GACGAACGCUGGCGGCGUGCCUAACACAUGCAAGUCGAGCGAAUGAAGUUCCUUCGGGAACGGAUUUAGCGGCGGACGGGUGAGUAACACGUGGGCAACCUGCCUCAUAGAGGGGAAUAGCCUUCCGAAAGGGAGAUUAAUACCGCAUAAGAUUGUAGUACCGCAUGGUACAGCAAUUAAAGGAGCAAUCCGCUAUGAGAUGGGCCCGCGGCGCAUUAGCUAGUUGGUGAGGGAACGGCUCACCAAGGCGACGAUGCGUAGCCGACCUGAGAGGGUGAGCGGCCACAUUGGGACUGAGACACGGCCCAGACUCCUACGGGAGGCAGCAGUGGGGAAUAUUGCACAAUGGGGGAAACCCUGAUGCAGCAACGCCGCGUGAGUGAUGACGGCCUUCGGGUUGUAAAGCUCUGUCUUCAGGGACGAUAAUGACGGUACCUGAGGAGGAAGCCACGACUAACUACGUGCCAGCCGCCGCGGUAACAC
rnacentral:rRNA from 1 species